CUACCUGAUUCAGCGGCGGACGGGUGAGUAAUGCCUAGGAAUCUGCCCGAUAGUGGGGGACAACGUUUCGAAAGGAACGCUAAUACCGCAUACGUCCUACGGGAGAAAGUGGGGGAUCUUCGGACCUCACGCUAUCGGAUGAGCCUAGGUCGGAUUAGCUAGUUGGUGAGGUAAUGGCUCACCAAGGCGACGAUCCGUAACUGGUCUGAGAGGAUGAUCAGUCACACUGGAACUGAGACACGGUCCAGACUCCUACGGGAGGCAGCAGUGGGGAAUAUUGGACAAUGGGCGAAAGCCUGAUCCAGCCAUGCCGCGUGUGUGAAGAAGGUCUUCGGAUUGUAAAGCACUUUAAGUUGGGAGGAAGGGCAGUAAGCUAAUACCUUGCUGUUUUGACGUUACCAACAGAAUAAGCACCGGCUAACUUCGUGCCAGCAGCCGCGGUAAUACGAAGGGUGCAAGCGUUAAUCGGAAUUACUGGGCGUAAAGCGCGCGUAGGUGGUUCAGCAAGUUGGAUGUGAAAUCCCCGGGCUCAACCUGGGAACUGCAUCCAAAACUACUGAGCUAGAGUACGGUAGAGGGUGGUGGAAUUUCCUGUGUAGC
rnacentral:rRNA from 1 species